AGCAUCGUAGCUCAGCUGCUAGAGCGUGCGCUGUACAAAAGCGUAGGCGGCGUCCAUGCGUGGGUUCGAAUCCCACCGAGGCUA
rnacentral:tRNA from 1 species